AUGCCGUCGCCCAGGAGCCCGUAGCCGAGGCCUGCUGCCAGGAUCUGGGUGGUCAUGGCCACCCAGGUGACCACGCCGCUGUACUGCAGCUCUGUGACCUUGGCCAUGUCACUUAACUUCCCUCCGCUUCAAUGUCUUCAUCUACAAACCAGGAAUAAUAGUAUAUAUCACAAAAUGUAUCUAAGAUACAAAUGAGACACUGUGAAGUCCUUGGCACAGACUUAUAAAAGAAGUAGAACACACAUGCUUCCCAUUAGGUGAGAAAGAAACAUGCCUGAGAGUCUAAUGGAUUACUCAAGUCUGUGCUGCCAAGGAAGAACAGAAUCUUUAGGUCUUCUGUGCAAAGUUGUGUCCACCCCCAAAGUCUGAAGUGGCUCCAUUCACAAACUUACAUGGAAUUUGGACUUGGCCAUCUUUCCUUUCAAGAAUAUAUGAUAAAAUCAUGCUUCCCGUUCAAGAGGUUCACUCUGGGUAUAGACGGCAUUUCUGAAAACAUGGCAUUGACUGACAUUAUUGACAGUGGACUGGGAAUGGAAAGAUCAGAGUUCUUUGCAUGGCUGAGCAUCUUACUUUUCCUUGAUCUUGGGAAGGAAGGCGCCUUCUCUGAUGGAGAUUAUCUGUCAGUGAAACUAGAUUUUUAAGUUGCAGCCCUGGGCUUAUGGUGAAUUGGCAAGCACGUGUGAGAAAGAUCAUGUUGUCUUAAGCAACUUUGAUUCCAAGAGAAGAAGAGUAAUAUGAGUACUCCAGUCCAGUCACCUGAUGAGAGAUUCCUGAAGGGAGAACUUGCAUCUUCAAAGCGUUGGAGGUAGAAGGAAGACAGGCAGAAGGACAUCCCAGAAUCAACCCAGAAUGUGGUGGAAGUGACUGCAUCAACCCUGAGCCGACACACCCAGAAGCCUUGCAGACUUCUACUUCCUGCCUUGGAAUCCUGACAAGCCACUACUUAAGCAAAUGUGAGCUACCCUUUUAGUGGUGGUUACAUGGGAUUAGAUGAGAUACAUGGGGCCCGGAUUCCUGAUUGCCCCACUUGACAGCUGAGAAACACCUGGGAGCAGGGCUGCCCAGCUAACAUCUGCUGACUGCAGAUGAAUGAACAAGCCCAGCCAGAUAGAGAAGAAACAGUCAGCUGGGCCAUAAACAAUGUUUUGUAAUAAUCGUUUAUUUAUAUGGUUUACAUUUUGUUUAACUCUCAUUUUUUAAUGGGAAUAGGACUUUUUUAUUGUGGUAAAAUGUACAUAAUGAAAAUUUACCAUUUUAACUAUUUUAGCUGUACAAUUCAGUGGCAUUCAAUGUUGUGCAAUGCUCACAACUACUUCCAACUUUUUUCAUUAUUCCAAACAGAAACUCUAUGCCAUUAAGCAAUAACUUUUGAUUCUUCCCAUCCCCAGCUCUUGGUAAUCUCGAUUCUACUUUCUGCCUAUAUGAAUUUGCCUAUUUUAGACACCCCACAUAAGUAGAAUCAUACAAUAUUUGUUCUUUUGUAUUUGACUUACUUUACUUGGCAUAUUUUCAAGGUUCAUCAUGUUGUAUUAUGUAUUAGACUUUUAUUUCUACUUAUGGCCGAAUAUCAUCCUGUGGUAGAUAGA
rnacentral:lncRNA from 1 species